rnacentral:rRNA from 1 species
AUGGGUACACUCCUCGUAAAUUCAGUACCUGCAUCUGUUUUAUUCGAUUCAGGAGCAUCGCAUUCAUUCAUGUCAGAAGAUUUUGCAUACAAGCACGACACUAAAUGUGAGGAGAUGGACACUUCGGUAGUGGUAAAAACCCCGUUGGGACAAUGUCAAACCUCACUGGUUGGCAUCGACGUCCCCGUGGAAAUCGAAGGGCUGGAAUUCUAUGCCUCUCCCAUUAUCCUGAAGUCGUCUAACAUUGACCUUAUUCUGGGAAUGGAUUGGUUGAAAGCACAUACUGCUUCCAUAGUUUGCGCCACUAAGACCGUCCAUCUGCUACACCCUUCUGAUGAAAUAAUAAGCUACAAUGCUUGUCUAGUUUAG